GACGAACGCUGGCGGCGUGCUUAACACAUGCAAGUCGAACGGUAAGGCCCCUCGGGGUACACGAGUGGCGAACGGGUGAGUAACACGUGGGUGAUCUGCCCUGCACUUCGGGAUAAGCCUGGGAAACUGGGUCUAAUACCGGAUAGGACUCCUGGCUUCAUGGUUGGGGGUGGAAAGCUUUUGCGGUGUGGGAUUGGCCCGCGGCCUAUCAGCUUGUUGGUGGGGUAAUGGCCUACCAAGGCGACGACGGGUAGCGGGCCUGAGAGGGUGACCGGUCACACUGGGAAUGCGAUACGGCCCAGACUCCUACGGGAGGCAGCAGUGGGGAAUAUUGCACAAUGGGCGCAAGCCUGAUGCAGCGACGCCGCGUGAGGGAUGACGGCCUUCGGGUUGUAAGCCUCUUUCAGCUAUGACGAAGCGCAAGUGACGGUAGUAGCAGAAGAAGGACCGGCCAACUACGUGCCAGCCGCCGCAGUAA
rnacentral:rRNA from 1 species